rnacentral:lncRNA from 1 species
GUUGAUUAUUAUCCUUAUUUUGAUAAAGCAUGAUCAAUUAUUGAAUCUGAAUUCUUGAUAUGAACCAGUAUAUAUUUUGAAUUGAAUUCUGAAUUGAUAGCUCCUCAUUUGAUUGAUGUCAUGAGUUGAGCCUUGAGAUAUGAAUAUGUCUGUUUGAUUAUGAUUAUGAACCUAUGGUAUGUUAGUCAGAAUACUCAUGCUAACAGGGUAGUGUUAGUCUUUGUGCACAUCGUAUUUGAACCCUAGUUGGUCGGGGGAGUCACCAACCUGUGUGGACUGAUCAUCCCACAGUACGGAGCCUCAUGCUCAUUGCAUUUUGAUUUUCUGACGAGUUUUACCAUAUGAUCUUCUUGUUAUGGCCAAUUUGAGAACACUUCCAUAAGAACCUAAAGCCAUACUUGUAUAUAUAUUUCUCAUUGCUGUAUUACCUCGUGUGUGUAUAUUGAACGUUAUCUACUCACUGAGUUGUUGAACUCACCAUCUCAUUAUUUAUCCUUUUCAGGCUUAUAGCUUGAUAGCAGGUC